rnacentral:lncRNA from 1 species
GGGGGCAUUUGCAGAAAGGGCAGUAGGAGAGCAGUUUGGAGGGAGGUAAGGCAGGAAGCACUCAGUCCUGGGCUCAGGGACUGUGACGUGCUGCUGGAACCUGCCUGGGGAGCUCAGGAAUGAGGGGAGAUGGCAAAUAAAGACCUGGCAUGAGGCUGGGGGCAGGGACAGAAAUCACCCUGGUGUCCGAGGAAGGAAAGUGGAACGCUAAAGAGGUGAGACGACCAGGGAAAGUGAAACAAGAGAGAAAGAAGGGAUGUAGAAUUGGAUUAUUGGGGUGGAAAGAGGAAGCCAGGUGGGGGAAGAGUCAGAGGAGGCUCAGGCAGAGGGCAGGAGGGGAAUUGGGAGAGGACAGCGAGCCUUCGAAAAAAUCCGGAGCUGGCACCUUCAACAGAAGCCAUGGAGCAACCCAAGAGGAGCCUGGGAGACAGCAACUUGGUGGCUGCUGAAAGACAGUUUCAGCUAAGGGGCAGGAGUGAGAGCCAGCCAGCACUGCAGAAGGUGGGGGGAAAGGCAAGCAGCCUAGAUGGUUCCUUCAAGAGGUUUGUCGAUAAAAGGAGCAGUCAAUAGGACCCAGGACACUGGCUGGGGACCUGGAGUGUUUGCAACGACGCAAGAUGAGAAGCUGGGUCACUGAAACAUUAACUCACAGACCAGGGUGGGUUGCAGCUGAUCCAACAGGCUGGACAGCCGCAUCAAUGCUUCCUAGAAGAGGAGAUGGGAGGAGAGAGUGAGCCCAGGAGCCUCUGCGUGGAGACCAAGGGGCCGAGGAGCACAGAAAGCCCCAGGGCUACGCAUCUUGGGUCAAAAGUCGCUGAAAAGAUAUUGAUAUCUACUUUUCUUUCUUUUUUUUUUUUUUCACUGUCUUUUUCUGGUUUUAGUAUCAGGGUAAUAUUAGCUUCAUAAAAUGUGGUGGUAAGUGUUCCUUCCCCUCCUAUUUUCUGGGAGAGAUUAUGUAAAAUUAUUGGUCACUAUAGAGAUUAUGACAUACAUACACAACUUACCACAAGCUACUGGUGUUGACACUGCCACUUUGAGUAAGUGUAGAAACCUUACUUCCAUUUAGUUCUCUUUAGCUUCCCCACUUAAAAAUAUAUGUGUCUUGAGUGUGUUCUUUACAUAUAUUGAACAUCACAUAAGAUGCUGUUACAAUUUUUGCUUCAAUCAUCAAAUAUGAUUUCAGAUACUCAUGAGAAGUAUAGUCUGUUGUAUUUAUUUCUAUUUAUGUACUUCCCAUAGUUUGUUUUUCUUUUCUGGAGCUCCAAGCAUUCUUGAAACCAAUGAGAAAAGUGGAAAAAUCUCAGUCCAGAAAUAGAAGGUAUAAUUUUUAAAUAAAAGCUUCUGUUCAGAUAACAUUCUUUACCCAAUCUUUAAAGAUACAUUUGCCAACAAUAAAUGCUCUUAGUUUUUCUUCAUCCAAGAAUGUUUUGCUUUCUCCUUCAUUUCUGAAGGAUGUUUUCACCAGAUACAGUAUUCACAGUUGACAGUUCUUUUUCUCAGUACUUGAAAGAUGCUGAGCCACUUCCUCUGGCCUCCAUCAUUUCAGAUGGGAAAUCCACUAUCAUUGCAAUUAAUUUUUCCCAUGUCAUAAAUGUGUUAUUUCUUUCUGACUGCUUUCAAUAUGUUUUUGUCUUUAGUUUAACUAUUUAAUUAUGAUGUGGAUUUCUUUACAUCUAGCCUGCUUGGAAUCCACUAAACUUCUUGAAUCUGUAGGUUUAUGUCUUUCUCCAAAUUUGAGAAGUUUUUAACCACUACUUCUUUGAAUACUUUUAGUCUCACUCUCUUCUCCUUUGGGACUCAGAAGGUAUGGCUGUUAGCUCUUUUCUUAUUGUCUCACAGGUCCCUGGGACUGUUAUUUCUUCCGUCUAUUUUUUUUUUUUUUUGAGACGGAGUCUCGCUCUGUCGCCCAGGUUGGACUGCAGCGGCGUGAUCUCGGCUCACUGCAAGCUCCGUCUUCCGGGUUCAUGCCA